UAACAUGAGAGCUUGCUCUUGAUGACGAGUGGCGCACGGGUGCGUAACGCGUAUGCAACCUACCCUUUACUGGGGGAUAGCCCGGAGAAAUCCGGAUUAAUACCCCAUGGUACUGUAAUGUAGCAUUACAUAGCAGUUAAAGAUUUAUUGGUAAAGGAUGGACAUGCGUGACAUUAGUUAGUUGGUAAGGUAACGGCUUACCAAGACGAUGAUGUCUAGGGGUUCUGAGAGGAAGGUCCCCCACACUGGUACUGAGACACGGACCAGACUCCUACGGGAGGCAGCAGUAGGGAAUAUUGGUCAAUGGACGCAAGUCUGAACCAGCCAUGCCGCGUGCAGGAUGACAGCUUUCUGAGUUGUAAACUGCUUUUAUAUAGGAACAGAGAGGCCAUGCGUGGCAAGUUGCGUGUACUAUAUGAAUAAGCACCGGCUAACUCCGUGCCAGCAGCCGCGGUAAUACGGAGGGUGCAAGCGUUGUCCGGAUUUAUUGGGUUUAAAGGGUGCGUAGGUGGCGUGUUAAGUCAGUGGUGAAAGCCUGCAGCUCAACUGUAGAGGUGCCA
rnacentral:rRNA from 1 species